AGCAGUCGCCGCGGGAAUACGGAGGAUCCAAGCGUUAUCCGGAAUCAUUGGGUUUAAAGGGUCCGUAGGCGGUCUUGUAAGUCAGUGGUGAAAGCCCAUCGCUCAACGGUGGAACGGCCAUUGAUACUGCAGGACUUGAAUUAUUGGGAAGUAACUAGAAUAUGUAGUGUAGCGGUGAAAUGCUUAGAGAUUACAUGGAAUACCAAUUGCGAAGGCAGGUUACUACCAAUUGAUUGACGCUGAUGGACGAAAGCGUGGGUAGCGAACAGGAUUAGAUACCCCGGUAGUCCCUGUCUCUUAUAA
rnacentral:rRNA from 1 species